AAAACCCAUAUUAGUUGACCAGAACGUUCUAAAAAUAAUAAUGAAAAUGAUUGGGUUCUAGAUCUUGACUGCUUUUGAUCUUUUGUUUAGAUACAGACAGGUCGGUGUAUGCUAACGGCCAAACAAACUCUGGAAGUUCAACCAGCAAAGAUGGCAGAGGAUCUCAUCAGCGAAUACCCCAGUCUUACUCUAAGCCCAUGGAUGUACGGCCGAUAGUUCACAUUCUUCAGUAAUGAACAGAUGCAAAGCCCAGAUAUGAG